UCCCUGGUGGCUCAGAUGGUAAAGAACCUGCCUGCAAUGCAGGAGACCUGGGUUUGAUCCCUGGGUCGGGAA
rnacentral:tRNA from 1 species